rnacentral:rRNA from 1 species
UACGGAGGGGGCUAGCGUUGUUCGGAAUUACUGGGCGUAAAGCGCACGUAGGCGGCUUGGAAAGUUGGGGGUGAAAUCCCAGGGCUCAACCCUGGAACUGCCUUCAAAACUCCCAGUCUGGAGGUCGAGAGAGGUGAGUGGAAUUCCGAGUGUAGAGGUGAAAUUCGUAGAUAUUCGGAGGAACACCAGUGGCGAAGGCGGCUCACUGGCUCGAUACUGACGCUGAGGUGCGAAAGCGUGGGGAGCAAACAGG